rnacentral:lncRNA from 1 species
UGGGGGAGAUGAAGAACAAACCCUAUCCUCUGAUGGAAUUACUGGAGAGAAAUCUCGGUUCAACCCGACUGCAGGGUGUUCUGGCUCAUGUACUGCAGAAGACACAAAUUUUGCUUUUUGAGUGACUGGCUUAUGAAUGACACAGCUUCAGUGAGCUUUAGCGAAAGGCACAUACAAUGAUGGGUGCAAAUGUAGAGACUGGGAGGAGGUCCUUUUGAAAGUAUUUCCAUUUCUGUGAUCUCAUCUUAUCUCAGAUGCUGAGCAGUUUCACUCCUGGCCAAAAUGGGGAUAGAAGAUUUCCAAGAACAUCCCCUCCCUCCCUGGUACUCUGAAAAGUGGUCUGAAGGUCAGUUGAUGGUACACUCC